AAACAACAUCAAAAGGUCACUGAGUCAACCUCCAUCUCAUCUGAUCUAUACUACUAAUCACCAUUUGAUCAAUACUGCUAAUCACCAUCUGAUCAAUACUGCUAAUCACCAUCUGAUCAAUACUGCUAAUCACCAUCUGAUCAAUACUGCUAAUCACCAUCUGAUCAAUACUGCUAAUCACCAUCUGAUCUAUACUGGUAAUCACCAUCUGAUCUAUCCUGGUAAUCACCAUCUGAUCUGUACUGCUAAUCACCAUCUGAUCUAUACUGGUAAUCACCAUCUGAUCAAUACUGCUAUUCACCAUCUGAUCAAUACUGCUAAUCACCAUCUGAUCAAUACUGCUAAUCACCAUCUGAUCAAUACUGCUAAUCACCAUCUGAUCUAUACUGCUAUUCACCAUCUGAUCAAUACUGCUAAUCACCAUCUGAUCAAUACUGCUAAUCACCAUCUGAUCAAUACUGCUAAUCACCAUCUGAUCAAUACUGCUAAUCACCAUCUGAUCAAUACUGCUAAUCACCAUCUGAUCUGUACUGCUAAUCACCAUCUGAUCAAUACUGGUAAUCACCAUCUGAUCUGUACUGCUAAUCAUCUAUUUUAAUAAUUAUACAUCAUAAUAAUACAUAGGAUUUAAAGGACGCUGUAAAGAAGAUUUUCGUGACAAACCUUUUUAAUAGAUUUAAAUGGUUUAUUUGAACUGUUUUCAUAGUUCCUUACUCAUGAUGAUUACUUUGUGUGUACCCCUUUAAGAGCGACCUGCAAAUCCAUGUUAGAAAGAAAACAUUUAGCUCUGGUAAAAUAGGUAUUUCAUUUUGAACGGUUUGGGCUGCUACAGACGAGCGGUUUUCUGCAUUGUAACGGUGCAACCAUGGAGACACUUCCCUUUAACAUAAACAUCCUGCCACCAAAGUAGGUCUCUCUCUCCAUUUCUCUAUCUCUCCAUCUCUCUACCUCUCUUCUCUCUCUCCACCUCUCUAUCUCUCUCUCUAGCUCUCUCUCCAUCUCUCCCCCUCUUUUCCCGCUCUCUAUCUCUCUACCUCUCUUCUCUUUCUCCCUCUUUUCCCUCUCUCUACCUCUCAUCUCUACCACUCUCUAUCAACUCCCCCCCUCCACUAAUGUGGAAAAGUUUUCCCCCUAUUGAGUUUGUCCCCUCAUUGAAAAACAUCACAAACUUGCCAGCCGGAUAGAACAAGCAAAAGAGCUAGCCGGCCAAAGGGCCAGCCGGUCAGAGAUCCUGCCAGCCAUCCAGUCAGUCAGAGAUCCUGCCAGCCUUCCAGUCAGUCAGAGAUCCUGCCAGCCAUCCAGUCAGUCAGAGAUCCUGCCAGUCAGCAGGUGUAGACCUUACUUACUUACUUACAAGCCCCUAACCAACAAUGCAGUUUAAAAAAAUACGAAUAAGAAAUAAAAGUAACAAGUAAUUAAAGAGCAGCAGUAAGCCAGUCUAGUGGUUACCAGUGUCUCAUUAACCCAAAGCCCUAGGCUAGGUCAGGGAUGGUAAAAGCAAAGAUCUUUUUUAACUAACCCAAGAUAGUUCAUCUCUGUCGUUUUACAGUGGAAGCAAAUGAAGCAUAGUGGGCAGAACGCGGAAAGGAGGUAGGCAAUGCCAAGUACGAGAUAGCGAGAUGCUAUUGGCGCAUUGUAGCAUGUAUUUACAUAUAUCCAUUAGGGAAUGCCUCCUCUGUGAAGUGAACUCAAUUUGACCUUGCAUUCCUUCUAAACAACACAUUUUUGUUCUAUAAAAAUUAGCACACUGUGUUCCUUACAGAUUUUAGUUUUGGGAACAGAAACAUUUAUUGAGAUCAGAUGUUUAAUCAAUGAGAAUGUGGAUCUUGGCCCAGUUUUACCUAGUUCCAUCCUCUCCCAAUACACGCGACUGAACUUCCUCUCACGACCAUAUUUGGUGGUGAGAAAACAUUCUAUCGUGUGAAGAGACCGCCUUGAAAAUGUUCAUCUUGUCUUUCGUGUCAUAAAUAAUCCUUGGUUCCUGCCUGUGCUUGGUAAAGAUAUGGGGAGGGUGACAUGACCCCCUCCUUGGGACCACCUGGCAGAACGCCAGAAUAUGUUCUAUAAGUUAAGAUAGGAGACGGUGCCAGACACAAGCCGGAAUCAACCCUAUGAACCAUGCCUAUGUAAUGUGUCUGUAACCAGUAUAUAAGGGAACUAACGGGACUGCCCCGUUGGAGCUCCCUUCAGACCGGUACUUUAUGCAUCUGUUUGACUGUGACGUCUCCAGCUUGCUGUUAAUAUACAAUGAUUAAUUUAAGGUUGACUUCGACUGUGCCAUGUGUAGAAUUUCCACGACAGGAUGCUUCAGCUUUAUAGCCCCUGUGACGUGUCUGUCUGUGGUAAAAACUUGUUGGACGAGUGGGAUGUUAGCAUCGCUAGCUUUUUGGCUAAAAGCUUCAGCUAAGUAGUAUACUGGUAUGUUACUGUAAAUUAUUAUUAUUAUCCAUGCUAGGACACUACUAAUUUGGUUACAUAAUAAUGUGCUAUGCUUACUAUUAUUUUACUUUGGCAAAAUGUGGAUUAUAUAGUGAUUACUUUGUAGUUAUACUCUUCUGCUACGUUGGGAUUUGAACGUUUGAGAAAGUAGCCAACUAGCCAUUGAUACAGUGUCACUCUUAUUUCUUAACAGGUACAGGUUUACCCAGUAAGGGGACAGGAUGGUCCAUCAAAACAGGGAAUAUUCUAUUUUUAUUUUUUGUGAAAACUUGCCUCAUUUAGGAGUCAAGUUCAAAAUCUCUUGACUGCCUUCAACAACAAAAAGUCAAGUGCCACAAUUCGAUGACUGCCACACACACACACACACACACACACACACACACACACACACACACACACACACGUUGAUGGUCGGGGAGAGUGGCGUAAGUUGUACCGUUAAUUACAUUCAGCAUCACUCCGUCAACAGGCCAUAUAGUAUUAUUUCUAGAUAUUACAGGAUGUUGUGUAUCCCUGGAAAUAAUCGGAAUUCAUGUAAACGUUACAAUUUUGAAAAUUACUUUUCCCCCCAAAAAGUGGCCUCUUGUCACAACUUACCCCGGAUAUGGGGUAAGUUAAGCUGCGGGACAGGGUAAGUUAAGCAGCCUACACAUUUCUUGACUGAAUGAAAUAUUACCACUACCUUUUUAAAACCAUGUCUAAUCUUUAUCUCUCAAACACAAUUCAACACAAUCACUUUUUUUUGUCUUUUAAUAAUUUUAAGCAUCUUUUGACACCUAACAAACACUUUGCUCCUUUUUUUUAAAGCACUUAACCCUUAACGUAGGCAAGGCCCUGUUGUUACUUUAUAUCCUAGCGAUACGGCCUUUGCAAUGAUUGGCUCAACCCACACAGCCACAAUGAUUCACUUUCAUGCUAUUGAAGCUUAUAGAGCCCCCUACUGAUGUGUGUAUAACAACAAAACAACGAUCUACUUUGGUUUUGAUACAAAGAAUCAUGAAACCUUGAACACAAUAUAUUCAUUUGACUUGGUGAAAAUCAGUUUCUUUUGGACUUAACUUGCUUACCACUUUUUCCAUGUGGUUUCUUCCUUCACAGACUCCAUGAAAAGAUUACCUCUUCUUAAAUAUUUGGUCAAAUUAUACAUUUUGUAUAUGGUUUCUUAGAAACACGGAUGGCUCAACUUAUCCCACUCUCUUCUACGGGAAGGGACUAGACGCUCUGACACGUGGCCAGCAAGCAUUAAUCCCCCCCCCCCCCCCCCGUUCUACCGGUUUGGUGGCCGAGCUGCGGCCUUCGGUCGGCGGAAAGGGACCAGAAAAGGGAGCUUUUAAAUGAAUGAAGCCACUUCAACUGAGGAAGUCAUAGAGGAAUGUAUUAUUCAUCAGGGUCCUUUCUGUUCAUUAGGGGACAUUGUUACAAAACGUGUUGCAAUGGAAAACUAAGAAGGAGCGUUUCUCAUUGGACCAGGUAGUCCCUCUCAUGUUCUAGUCUGAUUACGUCUGCAUGUUGCUAUGGGACGACGUGACUCCAGAGUGCCGUGUACCGGUCUAGUGACGUUGGGGAGAGCGGGGGAGACAGACAGAGGGUUAGAAGCAGAGAAGGACAGAGGGAGAGACAGAAAGACACGUGGCUGAUUUGACUGAUGAAGGAAGCCACGAGGGAACCAUGAAAUUACCUCUUAAGGAGGAUGGUAAUACAUCCAGUAUCCAAUCAAAAGGUCGCUGGUUAGAUUAUUAUAAAACAAAUGUGACCUUUUAUUUAACUAGGCAAGUCACUUAAGAACAAAUUCUUAUUUUACAAUGACGACCUAACCCGGCCAAACCCUCCCCUAACCCGGACGACGCUGGGCCAAUUGUGCACCAACUUAUGGGACUCCCGAUCACGGCCGGUAGUGAUGCAGCCCAGGAUCGAACCGGGGUCUGUAGUGACACCUCUAGCACUGAGAGACAGUGUCUUUAGACCGCUGCGCCACUCGGGUGCUGAACCGACAAGGUGAAAAAUCUGUCGAUGUGCCCUUGAGCAAGGCACUUAACUUUAAUUUGCUCCAGGGGCUGCCGUACUACUUUGGCUGACCCUAUAAUACAACACAUUUCACUCCACCUGUCCGGUGUAUGGACGAUUUUAAACACCAUAUACACAUAUACAGUGCCUUCAGAAAAUAUUCACACCACUUGACUUUUUCCACAUCUUGUUUUGUCACAGCCUGAACUUUAAAAUUAUUUCAAUUUAGAUUUUGGUCUCCAGUGCUGCGCUGGUGGAAUUUUAAAUGGAAGAUCUGGAACUAGCCUACCGGAGCUGACAACGGAUUUAAUAUAUAGCAUAUAACUUCAGGGGCAGAAGGUAGCCUAGUGGUUAGAGUGGUUGGGACAGUAACCAGCAGGUAGCCUAGUGGUUAGAGUCGUUGGGACAGUAACCAGCAGGUAGCCUAGUGGUUAGAGUGGUUGGGACAGUAACCAGCAGGUAGCCUAGUAGUUAGAGUGUUGGGACAGUAACCAGCAGGUAGCCUAGUGGUUAGAGUGGUUGGGACAGUAACCAGCAGGUAGCCUAGUGGUUAGAGUGGUUGGGACAGUAACCAGCAGGUAGCCUAGUGGUUAGAGUGGUUGGGACAGUAACCAGCAGGUAGCCUAGUGGUUAGAGUGGUUGGGACAGUAACCAGCAGGUAGCCUAGUGGUUAGAGUGGUUGGGACAGUAACCGAAAGGUUGCUGGAUCUAAUCCCCAAGCUGACAAGGUAAAAGUCUGUCGUUCUGCCGCCAAACAAGGCAGUUAUAACCCACUGCUCCCCGGUAUCCCGUCAUUGUAAAUAAGAUUUUUUUUUAACUGAUUGCCUAGUUAAAUAAAGGUUAAAUAAAAAAAUGUAAACAAUGACAUCUCAUUUGCCCAGACCUGCAUUCACUCCUCCAUCCCUAGUACCUGUAUUGUUGUUUGGCACUUGGCCUUAAAUUGUAUCAAUUAGUUUUUCCUCUGUCGCCCAUGCUAUAUCAAUAUUUCAAUAAUAAAUAAUUAGAUUUUUCGGAUUGAUUGAUUUCCACGAUUUUAGUCAGUUUUUUUAAAGAUGAGUGAUGAGAAGAGAAUCAUCCAGCCCAUUGAGUAUCUCACUGAACCCCCAAAUGCCAUGUCUUGAAAUAUGCAGACAGACUGAUUUUAAAAGUAAGUUUACAAUGUAAUACUUUAUGACAGCCAACUUUCUAGUUCCGCCCACAAAUUCCGGACUUCAUAACAUUCCCAGAAUGCAUGGAUUAUUCAGUCAUUCAUUGUUUUACACUUAAGACAGGACUCUGUCUGCCGAGGUGCUCUAGAAUUUGUGAAUUUUGUCUCUUGUAUAAUUAUUUAUUUAUAUACAUUAGUUUAUAGUGGAUUAAGCAUACGUUUUCGUUAACUGUUAUUUCGUUAGUUAUGCUUCAACUUUCCCUCCAUUUUUGUUCCAACAUCAGUUUAUAUUUAUAAUACUUAGAAAAAAUAGGUGACGACAAAUAUAUAGAGAGAACUUCAUCCCAUUACUCACCAAUAUGAAAGCAGAUCUAAUUCAAUUGAAUAAUCUUCCCAUAAAUCUUACAGGGAGAAUAAACCAUGGUGGCCAAAACAACAACAAAGUAAUUCUGCUAAUACCAAUUACCCCACCGAAGAUGUUCUUUUAAAUAGUGUACUCGGUCAUAACAAACUUUUAUCAAAUAAAAGUUAUAGAAAAGGAAGAUGUAGAACUUUCCAUGUCUUGAUUUUAACCUUCUAUCAACUCUUUACCCAAGACUUUUACUUGUGACGUAUACACUACAAGUUUGGACACGCCUACUCAUUUCAGUUUUUUUUUUUUUUUUUUUACUUUUUCAAAUAUUCUACAUUGUAGAAUAAUAAAGACAUCAAAACUAUGAAAUAACACAUAUGGAAUCAUGUAGUAACCCCCAAAAAAGUGUUAAUCAAAAUAUAUUUUAUAUUCAAGAUUCUUGAAAGUAGCCACCCUUUUGCCUUGGUGACAGCUUUACACACUCGCACUUUAGUCAAAUUAAAUCAAACUUUAUUUUUCACAUGCGCCGAAUACAAGUGUAGACUUUACUGUGAAAUGCUUGCUUACAAGUCGUUAACCAACAGUGCAGUUCAAGAAGAGUUA